GGUGAACAGCAGUGGCAGAGGGCGCAAAAUCCACAAGAGGAUUAUAAAAUCCAGCCUUCAUUUGCAAACAAUGUGAGGUCUCUUUCUGUAGAUGACAGAUGAUCUGUGCAGCAUAUCCAGAAUGUUAAUAAGUGUACACCUGCUACACAGCCAUGGUAUGAAAUGUAAAUAUAAUUUCCAUUCCAGGAAAACAAAAGGUGUUUUAGAAGAAAUAUUUUCUCUGUCUGUUGGACCAUUGCACUUCUCCAAAAGUGACUCUGUGUGGAGUCCCACAGCUUGGGAGUGACUGAGGCAAAGCUGGA